rfam:Danio rerio chromosome 10, GRCz11 reference primary assembly.
GGCCACAGCCGUAUCACCCUGCAGACAAAGACCGGUUACUCAUUGAAGCUUAACAGGGCUGAGCCUGUUCAGUACCUGAAUGUGAGACCACAUGGGAAAACUAGGUUGCUGUUGGAA